CCAAUCAGCGACUGUUGUUAGGCAGAUUUUUAUGUCUGACGUUCUUACAGCGCGUGAAGAGCUUAAUCGACCACUCCUUCUAUUUUAGUGUUUAAAUGCGGGCAUAAGCUAACUUGGCGAUGGCAGUUCGAGUGUCUGGGAGAGCAGCAGAGGACAAUACUGACAGUGAUGACAGCAUUAAAGAAAAACGUCCAAACUUACACGAUGUGGAGAAAAAUGAGAAAAAGUCUGAGAACAAAAUGGAACACAAAAAUAAACAGAGGACCAAACUGUCAGAGACAACAGCAAGGCGGAGUACAGCCCAAACCAGUGUCCCAAGAACAGGUCAGUGUACCAGAUUUAGGUUGCUGUGCUUUAAUUUGAGGUUAAGCACAUUGGUAAUAUGUUUGUUAAUAUUUUUGCCAUGUUAUAUCUCUGAGCAGGGGUUCUUAACCUUUUUUCACCAUUUCUUUUACAAAACAAAUGAUUGGACCUUAAGUUAAAUAUGUUUGCACACUUAGACAGGCUCUGUGUUUAAUUUUCUGUUAUGUAAAUGCAGAAAAUCUAGAUUCACAGAAAACAAUUUGAUUCAAAAGCAACACUUCUAUCAAUGUCAGAGAAGUGCCUUUGAUGGAAUCUUGAGUUAACAAUAAAAAUCAAAAUUCAGACA
rnacentral:lncRNA from 1 species